GACGAACGCUGGCGGCGUGCUUAACACAUGCAAGUCGAACGGUAAGGCCCCUUCGGGGGUACACGAGUGGCGAACGGGUGAGUAACACGUGAGUAACCUGCCCUUGACUCUGGGAUAACAUUUGGAAACAGAUGCUAAUACCGGAUAUCAACGCUUCAGGCAUCUGAGGCGUUUGAAAGCUCCGGCGGUCAUGGAUGGACUCGCGGCCUAUCAGCUUGUUGGUGAGGUAAUGGCUCACCAAGGCGAUGACGGGUAGCCGGCCUGAGAGGGCGACCGGCCACAUUGGGACUGAGAUACGGCCCAAACUCCUACGGGAGGCAGCAGUGGGGAAUAUUGCACAAUGGGCGCAAGCCUGAUGCAGCAACGCCGCGUGCGGGAAGACGGCCUUCGGGUUGUAAACCGCUUUCAGCAGGGACGAAGCGAAAGUGACGGUACCUGCAGAAGAAGCACCGGCUAACUACGUGCCAGCCGCCGCGGUAACAC
rnacentral:rRNA from 1 species